ACAAGAUACUAUCAUGUUUUAACAAGAUAUGUAUCACAUUAUAACGUGAUAGCGCUCGAAAUUUUUUUUUUCCUGCGUGAUAGCAAUGCGCUUCCGUAUUUUUCAAACAAAUUU